rnacentral:tRNA from 1 species
AUUUAUAUAAUUUAAACUAGAAUAUUGCAUUGAAGCUGCAAAAGUGGUAAAAUUACCUGUAAAUA